GAACAGAGCAGCUGCCAAUGGGCGUGUGCGUUUCAGGCGGCCAAUGGGAGGAGGCGUCUCGGCGCGGGACAAGUAGUAGCUGCCCGCGGGAGCGGGGAGGGGUCCGGGUUCGAGCUUGUGUUCCCCCGGAAGGGUGAGUCUGGACGCGGGCGCGGAAGGGGCGCGGCCGGAGGUCCUCAGGAAGAAGCCGCGGGGACUGGCUGCGCUUGACAGGCUGCACUUGGAUGGGAGCACCUGGUGCCUCCGGACUGCUCCGAUGCCCGAUGGGGAAACUGAGGCCCAGAAUUGCUAAGUGGCUUGCUUGAGUUGACACAGGGAGCUCCAGGACUCGCCCUCAGCUGAGCCACCUGCCGGGAGCAUGCCUCUGCGCCACUGGGGGAUGGCCAGGGGCAGUAAGCCCUUUGGGGAUGGAGCCCAGCCCAUGGCUGCCAUGGGAGGCCUGAAGGUGCUUCUGCACUGGGCUGGUCCAGGCGGCGGGGAGCCCUGGGUCACUUUCAGUGAGUCAUCGCUGACAGCUGAGGAAGUCUGCAUCCACAUUGCACAUAAAGUUGGUAUCACUCCUCCUUGCUUCAAUCUCUUUGCCCUCUUCGAUGCUCAGGCCCAAGUCUGGUUGCCCCCAAACCACAUCCUAGAGAUCCCCAGAGACGCAAGCCUGAUGCUAUAUUUCCGCAUAAGGUUUUAUUUCCGGAACUGGCAUGGCAUGAAUCCUCGGGAACCGGCUGUGUACCGUUGUGGGCCCCCAGGAACCGAGGCAUCCUCAGAUCAGACAGCACAGGGGAUGCAACUCCUGGACCCAGCCUCAUUUGAGUACCUCUUUGAGCAGGGCAAGCAUGAGUUUGUGAAUGACGUGGCAUCACUGUGGGAGCUGUCGAGCGAGGAGGAGAUCCACCACUUUAAGAAUGAGAGCCUGGGCAUGGCCUUUCUGCACCUCUGUCACCUCGCUCUCCGCCAUGGCAUCCCCCUGCAGGAGGUGGCCAAGAAGACCAGCUUCAAGGACUGCAUCCCGCGCUCCUUCCGUCGGCAUAUCCGGCAGCACAGCGCCCUGACCCGGCUGCGCCUUCGGAACGUCUUCCGCAGGUUCCUGCGGGACUUCCAGCCGGGCCGACUCUCCCAGCAGAUGGUCAUGGUCAAAUACCUAGCCACACUCGAGCGGCUGGCACCCCGCUUCGGCACAGAGCGUGUGCCCGUGUGCCACCUGAGGCUGCUGGCCCAGGCCGAGGGGGAGCCCUGCUACAUCCGGGACAGUGGGGUGGCCCCUACAGACCCUGGCCCUGAGUCUGCUGCUGGGCCCCCAACCCACGAGGUGCUGGUGACAGGCACUGGUGGCAUCCAGUGGUGGCCAGUAGAGGAGGAGGUGAACAAGGAGGAGGGUUCUAGUGGCAGCAGUGGCAGGAACCCCCAAGCCAGCCUGUUUGGGAAGAAGGCCAAGGCUCACAAGGCAGUCGGCCAGCCGGCAGACAGGCCGCGGGAGCCACUGUGGGCCUACUUCUGCGACUUCCGGGACAUCACCCACGUGGUGCUGAAAGAGCACUGUGUCAGCAUCCACCGGCAGGACAACAAGUGCCUGGAGCUGAGCUUGCCUUCCCGGGCUGCGGCGCUGUCCUUCGUGUCGCUGGUGGACGGCUAUUUCCGCCUGACGGCCGACUCCAGCCACUACCUGUGCCACGAGGUGGCUCCCCCACGGCUGGUGAUGAGCAUCCGGGAUGGGAUCCACGGACCCCUGCUGGAGCCAUUUGUGCAGGCCAAGCUGCGGCCCGAGGACGGCCUGUACCUCAUUCACUGGAGCACCAGCCACCCCUACCGCCUGAUCCUCACAGUGGCCCAGCGUAGCCAGGCACCAGACGGCAUGCAGAGCUUGCGGCUCCGAAAGUUCCCCAUUGAGCAGCAGGACGGGGCCUUCGUGCUGGAGGGCUGGGGCCGGUCCUUCCCCAGCAUUCGGGAACUUGGGGCUGCCUUGCAGGGCUGCUUGCUGAGGGCCGGGGAUGACUGCUUCUCUCUGCGUCGCUGUUGCCUGCCCCAACCAGGAGAAACCUCCAAUCUCAUCAUCAUGCGGGGGGCUCGGGCCAGCCCCAGGACACUCAACCUCAGCCAGCUCAGCUUCCACCGGGUUGACCAGAAGGAGAUCACCCAGCUGUCCCACUUGGGCCAGGGCACAAGGACCAACGUGUAUGAGGGCCGCCUGCGAGUGGAGGGCAGCGGGGACCCUGAGGAGGGCAAGAUGGAUGACGAGGACCCCCUCGUGCCUGGCAGGGACCGUGGGCAGGAGCUACGAGUGGUGCUCAAAGUGCUGGACCCUAGUCACCAUGACAUCGCCCUGGCCUUCUACGAGACAGCCAGCCUCAUGAGCCAGGUCUCCCACAUGCACCUGGCCUUCGUGCAUGGCGUCUGUGUGCGCGGCCCUGAAAAUAUCAUGGUGACAGAGUACGUGGAGCACGGACCCCUGGAUGUGUGGCUGCGGAGGGAGCGGGGCCAUGUGCCCAUGGCUUGGAAGAUGGUGGUGGCCCAGCAGCUGGCCAGCGCCCUCAGCUACCUGGAGAACAAGAACCUGGUUCAUGGUAAUGUGUGUGGCCGGAACAUCCUGCUGGCCCGGCUGGGGUUGGCAGAGGGCACCAGCCCCUUCAUCAAGCUGAGUGAUCCUGGCGUGGGCCUGGGCGCCCUCUCCAGGGAGGAGCGGGUGGAGAGGAUCCCCUGGCUGGCCCCCGAAUGCCUACCAGUUGGGGCCAACAGCCUAAGCACCGCCAUGGACAAGUGGGGGUUUGGCGCCACCCUCCUGGAGAUCUGCUUUGACGGAGAGGCCCCUCUGCAGAGCCGCAGUCCCUCCGAGAAGGAGCAUUUCUACCAGAGGCAGCACCGGCUGCCUGAGCCCUCCUGCCCAGAGCUGGCCACACUCACCAGCCAGUGUCUGACCUAUGAGCCAACCCAGAGGCCAUCAUUCCGCACCAUCCUGCGUGACCUCACCCGGCUGCAGCCCCACACUCUUCCAGAUCUUGCUGACGUCUUGACUGUGAACCCGGACUCACCGGCGUCGGACCCUACGGUUUUCCACAAGCGCUACUUGAAAAAGAUCCGAGAUCUGGGCGAGGGUCACUUCGGCAAGGUCAGCUUGUACUGCUACGAUCCGACCAACGACGGCACUGGCGAGAUGGUGGCGGUGAAAGCCCUCAAGGCAGACUGCGGCCCCCAGCACCGCUCGGGCUGGAAGCAGGAGAUUGACAUUCUGCGCACGCUCUACCACGAGCACAUCAUCAAGUACAAGGGCUGCUGCGAGGACCAAGGCGAGAAGUCGCUGCAGCUGGUCAUGGAGUACGUGCCCCUGGGCAGCCUCCGAGACUACCUGCCCCGGCACAGCGUCGGGCUGGCCCAGCUGCUGCUCUUCGCCCAGCAGAUCUGCGAGGGCAUGGCCUAUCUGCACGCUCAGCACUACAUCCACCGAGACCUAGCCGCGCGCAACGUGCUGCUGGACAACGACAGGCUGGUCAAGAUCGGGGACUUUGGCCUAGCCAAGGCCGUGCCCGAAGGCCACGAGUACUACCGCGUGCGCGAGGAUGGGGACAGCCCCGUGUUCUGGUAUGCCCCAGAGUGCCUGAAGGAGUAUAAGUUCUACUAUGCGUCAGAUGUCUGGUCCUUCGGGGUGACCCUGUAUGAGCUGCUGACGCACUGUGACUCCAGCCAGAGCCCCCCCACGAUGGAGUUUCACACUUGUAUCCCAGGCUGGAGUGCAAUGGCACAAUCUCGGCUCACUGCAACCUCCGCCUCCCAGGUUCAAACGAUCCUCCUGCCUCAGCCUCCCAAGUAGCUGGGAUUACAGGUGCCUGCCAUUAUGCCCAGCUAAUUUUUGUAUUUUUAGUAGAGAUGGGGUUUCACCAUGUUGGCCAGGCUGGUCUCGAACUCCUGACCUCAGGUGAUCCACCCACCUCAGCCUUCCAAAGUGCUGGGAUUACAGGCAUGAGCCACCGUGCCUGCCUUUCAUUGCCUCUUGAAAAGAGCUUGUCUUGUUUAUACUGUAGAAAUUCCUUGAGCUCAUAGGCAUUGCUCAGGGUCAGAUGACAGUUCUGAGACUCACUGAGUUGCUGGAACGAGGGGAGAGGCUGCCACGGCCCGACAAAUGUCCCUGUGAGGUCUAUCAUCUCAUGAAGAACUGCUGGGAGACAGAGGCGUCCUUUCGCCCAAACUUCGAGAACCUCAUACCCAUUCUGAAGACAGUCCAUGAGAAGUACCAAGGCCAGGCCCCUUCAGUGUUUAGCGUGUGCUGAGGCACAAUGGCAGCCCUGCCUGGGAGGACUGGACCAGGCAGUGGCUGCAGAGGGAGCCUCCUGCUUCCUGCCCCAGGAUGAAACCAAGAGGGGGAUGUCAGCCUCACCCACACCGUGUGCCUUACUCCUGUCUGGAGACCCCACCUCUGUGAACUUAUUUUUCUUUCAUGGCCGUGAGCCUAACCAUGAUCUUGAGGGACCCAACAUUUGUAGGGGCACUAAUCCAGCCCUUAAAUCCCCCAGCUUCCAAACUUGAGGCCCACCAUCUCCACCAUCUGGUAAUAAACUCAUGUUUUCUCUG